UUGCUUCCUUUAGCAGCACAUAUAUUAAAUUGGACUGAUACAAAUAGUGUGACCCCUAUGCAAGGAUAACAUACAAAUUUGUAAACAGUUCCAUAUUUUU
ensembl:snRNA U6 U6 spliceosomal RNA